UCACGGUAUCAAGCGUGGCUUGGUGUUGGGCCCUUUGUCACCUGGUGACAGGUCCGAAAGACAAUGACCGGUGUAACAGACUCCAUGUGCAACGAGCUUAUAACAGCACGCAUUUGGCAGUUGUGUGACCUGGUUUUCACCCAUUCUUUCUCUCAA
rnacentral:misc_RNA from 2 species